GGGCCCAUAGCUCAGCGGCCAGAGCCGCCGGCUCAUAACCGGUCAGACCCAGGUUCGAAUCCUGGUGGGCCCA
rnacentral:tRNA from 1 species